rnacentral:rRNA from 1 species
GAUGAACGCUGGCGGCGUGCCUAAUACAUGCAAGUCGAGCGAACAGACGAGGCGCUUGCUCCCCUGACGUAAGCGGCGGAUGGGACAGUAACACGUGGAUACCCUACCUAUAAGACUGGGAUAAAUUCGGGAAACAGGAGCUAAUACCGGCUAAUAUAUUAAAGCGCGUGGUUCAAUAGUGAAAGACGGUUUUGCUGUCACUUAUAGAUGGAUCCGCGCCGCAUUAGCUAGUUGGGAGGGUAACGGCUUACCAAGGCAACGAGGCGUAGCCGACCUGGACGAGUGGUCGCCGACACGGGAACGUGAACGCGGUCCAUGCUCCUACGGGAGGGAGCAGAAGGGAAUCUUCCGCAAUGGUCGGAAGCUUGGCGGAGCAACGCCGCGUGUGACAUGAAGGUCUUCGGAUCGUAAAACUCUCUUAUUGGUUGAAAACAAAUUUGUAAAGAACUAAGCACGUCUUGACGGUACCUAAACAGAAAGCCACGGCUAACUACGUG